GAUGAACGCUGGCGGCGUGCCUAAUACAUGCAAGUCGAGCGAACAGACGAGGAGCUUGCUCCUCUGACGUUAGCGGCGGACGGGUGAGUAACACGUGGAUAACCUACCUAUAAGACUGGGAUAACUUCGGGAAACCGGAGCUAAUACCGGAUAAUAUAUUGAACCGCAUGGUUCAAUAGUGAAAGACGGUUUUGCUGUCACUUAUAGAUGGAUCCGCGCCGCAUUAGCUAGUUGGUAAGGUAACGGCUUACCAAGGCAACGAUGCGUAGCCGACCUGAGAGGGUGAUCGGCCACACUGGAACUGAGACACGGUCCAGACUCCUACGGGAGGCAGCAGUAGGGAAUCUUCCGCAAUGGGCGAAAGCCUGACGGAGCAACGCCGCGUGAGUGAUGAAGGGCUGCGGAUCGUAAAACUCUGUUAUUAGGGAAGAACAAAUGUGUAAGUAACUAUGCACGUCUUGACGGUACCUAAUCAGAAAGCCACGGCUAACUACGUG
rnacentral:rRNA from 1 species